rnacentral:rRNA from 1 species
AACGAACGCUGGCGGCAUGCCUAACACAUGCAAGUCGAACGAGACCUCCGGGUCUAGUGGCGCACGGGUGCGUAACGCGUGGGAACCUGCCCUUAGGCUCGGAAUAACUCUCCGACAGGGGUGCUAAUACCGGAUAAUGUAUUCGGACAAAAUAUUCAUCGCCUUUGGAUGGGCCCGCGUUGGAUUAGCCAGUUGGUAGGGUAAAAGCCUAUCAAGGCGACGAUCCAUAGCUGGUCUGAGAGGAUGGUCAGCCACUCUGGGACUGGGACACGGCGCAGACUCCUGCGGGAGGCAGCAGUGGGUAAUAUUGGACAAUGGGCGAAAGCCUGAUCCAGCUAUGCCUCUUGAGUGAUGAAGGCCUUAGGGUAGUAAAGCUCUUUUACCCGGGAUGAUAAUGACGGUACCGGGAGAAUAAGCUCCGGCUAACUCCGUG